rnacentral:rRNA from 1 species
GGGUUGUGAGGUUAAGCGACUAAGCGUACACGGUGGAUGCCCUGGCAGUCAGAGGCGAUGAAGGACGUGCUAAUCUGCGAUAAGCGUCGGUAAGGUGAUAUGAACCGUUAUAACCGGCGAUUUCCGAAUGGGGAAACCCAGUGUGUUUCGACACACUAUCAUUAACUGAAUCCAUAGGUUAAUGAGGCGAACCGGGGGAACUGAAACAUCUAAGUACCCCGAGGAAAAGAAAUCAACCGAGAUUCCCCCAGUAGCGGCGAGCGAACGGGGAGCAGCCCAGAGCCUGAAUCAGUGUGUGUGUUAGUGGAAGCGUCUGGAAAGGCGCGCGAUACAGGGUGACAGCCCCGUACACAAAAAUGCACAUAUUGUGAGCUCGAUGAGUAGGGCGGGACACGUGGUAUCCUGUCUGAAUAUGGGGGGACCAUCCUCCAAGGCUAAAUACUCCUGACUGACCGAUAGUGAACCAGUACCGUGAGGGAAAGGCGAAAAGAACCCCGGCGAGGGG